rnacentral:rRNA from 1 species
CCUACGGGAGGCAGCAGUGGGGAAUAUUGGGCAAUGGGCGCAAGCCUGACCCAGCAACGCCGCGUGAAGGAAGAAGGCUUUCGGGUUGUAAACUUCUUUUGUCAGGGAAGAGUAGAAGACGGUACCUGACGAAUAAGCCACGGGUAACUACGGGCCAGCAGCCGCGGUAAUACGGAGGUGGCAAGCGUUGUCCGGAUAUACUGGGUGUAAAGGGCGUGUAGCCGGGUUGACAAGUCAGAUGUGAAAUCCUGAGGCUUAAACGCAGAACUGCAUUUGAAACUGUUGAUCUUGAGUACUGGAGAGGCAGACGGAAUUCCUAGUGUAGCGGUGAAAUGCGUAGAUAUUAGGAGGAACACCAGUGGCGAAGGCGGUCCGCUGGACAGCAACUGACGCUGAGGCGCGAAAGCGUGGGGAGCAAACAGGAUUAGAUACCCUUGUAGUC